GGGUCCUUUAAGGGUCCUGAAGGAACGUUGAAGACGACGACGUUGAUAGGCCGGGUGUGUAAGCGCAGCGAUGCGUUGAGCUAACCGGUACUAAUGAACCGUGAGGCUUAACCUUACAACGCCGAAG
rnacentral:rRNA from 1 species